UGGCUCAAUUUGGCAGCAUGUAUACUAAAAUUGGAACAAUACAGAGAAGAUUAGCCCUUGUGCAAGAAUGACAUGUAAAUUCGGGAAGCAUUCCAUAUUUUU
rnacentral:snRNA from 1 species